AAUGAACGCUGGCGGCGUGCCUAACACAUGCAAGUCGAACGUGAAAGCCCGCAAGGGUAAGUAAAGUGGCGAACGGGUGCAUAACGCGUGGGAAUCUGCCCUUGGGUGAAGGAUACCCUGGAGAAAUUCAGGCUAAUACUGCAUAAGUCGGGAAACCGAGAAAGGUGGCCUAAUAGCUACCGCCAAAGGAUGAGCCUGCGUACUAUUAGCUAGUUGGUGGGGUAAUUGCCUACCAAGGCGAAGAUGGUUAGCCGGCCUGAGAGGGUGUACGGCCACAAUGGGACUGAGAUACGGCCCAUACUCCUACGGGAGGCAGCAGUGGGGAAUAUUGCACAAUGGCGGAAAGACCGUGAUGCAGCGACGCCGCGUGGA
rnacentral:rRNA from 1 species